rnacentral:rRNA from 1 species
UGGGGAAUAUUGGACAAUGGGCGCAAGCCUGAUCCAGCCAUGCCGCGUGGGUGACGAAGGCCUUAGGGUUGUAAAGCUCUUUCGGCGGGGAAGAUAAUGACGGUACCCGCAGAAGAAGCCCCGGCUAACUCUGUGCCAGCAGCCGCGGUAAUACAGAGGGGGCAAGCGUUGUUCGGAAUCACUGGGCGUAAAGCGCACGUAGGUGGAUAGUUAAGUUCGGGGUGAAAUCCCAGGGCUCAACCCUGGAACUGCCUCGGAUACUGGCUAUCUCGAGUCCGGAAGAGGUGAGUGGAAUUCCUAGUGUAGAGGUGAAAUUCGUAGAUAUUAGGAAGAACACCGGUGGCGAAGGCGGCUCACUGGUCCGGUACUGACACUGAGGUGCGAAAGCGUGGGGAGCAAACAGGAUUAGAUACCCAAGUAGUCCCUGAGCGGGCUGGCAAGGCGCAU